GAGAAAGAAUAAGGAAAACUAAGGAGGAUCUGUAUAUGCAUUGGAAAUAUUGGGAAAGAAGGAACUAUAUUCUGUCCGGAAAAUUUACGUACAGGAAAAAAAAUGUCUAACCCCCCCCCAUACGCACGAGAAAUGACUCGUUCAAUCAACCCCCUCCCAAUAAAAUAGGGCUAGCGAUCCACCCGUUAGUACACAUGAAGCCAAAAUGAAUAUGUUUUGUUGUGACUUUUACUGGUAUGACUUUCUUUAGAAUAUUCACGCUUUUAUAGUGUCUUAGUGUUCACAUUUGUGUAGUCAACCAGUCACACAUAACCUGUUCCUAUAUGCCUUCGACAGGGAUUAUUCUAAGCGGAAAAUUUAUCACUGCACAAAAGCGCAAAAAAUGAUAAAAUGUAUAUAAAUUUAGCGACAUUUUAGAAAACGUUCUGACUGCCCUGCAUGAGUGCAUGUACUCUGAUUCUGCAACUUAAAGUUUACCCCAUGCAUGUCACUAAUUAUAUGCAGGCAAAUGAGCCAAAAUCACCGUCCCAGGGCCUCUUUUAACAUAUAGACUGGGGGGACAUGCCCCCCCAGUCCCCUUUACUGGCCCCUCCAGU